rnacentral:rRNA from 1 species
UGCGCAGGCGGAAUAAUAAGUCAGUGGUGAAAUCUCUCGGCUCAACCGGGAAACUGCCAUUGAUACUGUUAUUCUUGAGUACAGCUGAAGUGGGCGGAAUGUGUCAUGUAGCGGUGAAAUGCUUAGAUAUGACACAGAACACCGAUAGCGAAGGCAGCUCACUAAGCUGUAACUGACGCUCAUGCACGAAAGCGUGGGGAUCAAACAGGAUUAGAUACCCUGGUAGUC